GCCCUCAUAGUUCAAUGGAUAAAACGGCCGCCUCCUAAGCGGCAACUCCAGGUUCGAUUCCUGGUGGGGGCACCA
rnacentral:tRNA from 1 species